rnacentral:rRNA from 1 species
UAAGUUAAUACCUUGCUGUUUUGACGUUACCGACAGAAUAAGCACCGGCUAACUCUGUGCCAGCAGCCGCGGUAAUACAGAGGGUGCAAGCGUUAAUCGGAAUUACUGGGCGUAAAGCGCGCGUAGGUGGUUUGUUAAGUUGGAUGUGAAAGCCCCGGGCUCAACCUGGGAACUGCAUCCAAAACUGGCAAGCUAGAGUACGGUAGAGGGU